CGCCCCCCGCCCCUCCGCGAGCCGUGACAGCGCAGCCCGGGAGCCUCUCGAGGACGCGGCCCCUACGGCUCGAGAGCGCGCCGGACGGGCGGACGGGUGGGGGCUGCCCCGGGCGCGGCACCGCUUCCUGCGCCCGACCCCCCCCCGGGUUCUGCUGCGCCGCCGCUGCGUUGCGCAUCCUCCGCUUUCCCCGAGGCUCCGCCGCGCGCAGCGCUCGGUUCUCGGAGGGAGCGGAGGGGCUGCGCGUGGGGCGGGGGGUCCGAGCGGCGCUUCCCCGCGCGGUGGGACCCGCGGUGCGGCGUUCCGAUACGUGGCGUCCCGCCGCUUGUGCCUCUGCACAUGGAGGGGUGGGCAGCGCCGCGCCCCGCCGAGCGCUUAUGGGAUCGCAGCGGGUAGAAGAGACUUUCGAGAAGUUCCCUGUGGUUUUCUGUUAGCGAAACCGUCGCUGAAAUUCGGAGUUUCACUCGGUGCUCGCUGGUCAGCUGCAUCGAUGCAUCUGAAUAGCAAAUGACGGGGUUGUUUCGGGAAGGCGGUUUUGAGGUCGUUAAAAGGGACUGUGUUGUUGUUAGUUUUUGGUGGUUUUUUUUUUUUUUUUCUUUUUCUUUUUCCUGCUGAUUUUGAUUCGUGUCUUUCACUUUUCCCCUUCAAUCGCUUUGUGCUGAGAGUGGCCAUGCAGUCAGGCCGCACACGGGGGUGUGCUGCCCCUUCGAAGCGAUUUGAUCUGAACGAUCCUCACUCGCCCUGAUCCUCCCAGUGCUGGGAGCUGGGAGAAUUGCUGUCCCCAGGACUCAGACCAUUGUCUGAUCGGUGUCUGGAUGGUCAGCUGAAUGCACAGGGUCACUGUUCCCAUACCUGUUCCAGAAAUGUGGAGGUGUGGCUCUGAGGGACAUAGUGGGCAUGGUGCUGAUGGGUCAGUGGUUACACUAUUGUGAUAGAACGAUUCUGUGAUCCUACACCAUCUCUGUGUUCCUUUCAGUGCAACACAUGCAUCAUGCAAGAGGCCUGCUAAGGCUGUGGGCAGUGUUUGUUUGCAGUUGUUCAGAGCUGUAGGGUCCUUGUAGUGCAGGAUCCAAUGGUUUCCAGCAGCCCCAGUUCCAGGGGUGUGCUCAGGUGUAGGCAUGACACCCAUGUGGCUCUCGGGUCUGCAGCCAGCAUGUUACUGAGGAACCCAACUGCUCUGCAGUAUUGCAUUUAUGAUUGCUUCUUUCAUGUUCUGGUUCUGGCAGCAAAUCACGUUUGUAAAACUGCCCUGCUGUGCCUCAUAUUGGUCGGAGUUCUGUGUUCUGAUAAUCUGCUCCGUCUCUUUGAUCAGCAUGGCACUGAAUGGUGUCCUGUCCACAGGCAUUUCUCAUCUUCUUGGCAUCCCCAGCUUCCCAAAGCCGUAGUGCACUGCUCUGACGUGAGCUGGUGGCUUUGUGGCCUCAUUCCUCCAGCACCACCUUCUUGGAUUUCCUCUUCUUUCUCUUCUCUCCUUCACUGGACAACAUGUGAUGAAUCAUGCAGGGUAAGUGUGACCGAGCUGCUCGGCCUUUCUGAGCAGCCAGAGACACACUGCUGCCAGUGGCCUGGGGGCUUCUCUCUGAUGAUGCUCAGGAUGAGAACCCAACAGUCCCUGCUGUCUGGCCACCGGGCAAACGCAUGACCUGAAUGAAGUGUAAUCUCUGAGAGAGCCUGCUGAAUUUGAUACGCCUUUAUGGUUCACUUCCCAUUAUUUGUAACUUGAAAGCAUAAACCAGGGCUGGGAAAGUAAUGCUGUAAGUCAAAUUUGGAUUAGACGUUCCCAAAGUGUUUUGGAUUUAUGCUGCAGCUGAGAGCUGCCUGUGAGAAGCCGAAAGGCAAAAGGAAAUCCGUCUCUGUUCUGGAGGUGAUUGUUCCCCCAAACUGGUGUGUUCUUCAUCAGAGUGUUCUUUAUCCAGAAUAACAUUAUUUCAAAAAGAAUAUAAAUGCUGUUCAGUAGGACUAGUCUGUGUGGGCUGACAUGCCUUCAAAAAAAGCUAAAUGAUUUCUUGUCUUACCUUGAGGCCUUUGUUUCAGUGCUGGUGCUGUUGUCAUGUAGGAUGGAGCGAGGAAGGGGCCAGCUGCUUUGUCACCUCGCAGAAGAGCUCAUCCAGAAGCAGCGCUUGCUUAUCUUUUGGUGCCAGAUGCCUGCAGAGCAGGCUCUCGCAGGCAGGCCUCUUGGUGUCUCAGGGAUGUCGUUUUCAAGUCCUGCCUGGCCCAGAGCACGUGUUGUUUACAGAGCUGUUUUUUGCCUCCAGCUGUCACCUGGGCCCUUUCUGACCACAAUUAGAUACCAGGUGUGGUUGGCAGAGGGGUGGCAGGGAAAGAGGUGUCACUUGCAGCCCUGGGAGCAGAGACAACCCAGGAGCCCCGAGCGUGCCGUGCCGUAGAGCAACGUCUUGCUCCAUGGCUUUCUGCCCCUGAUGUAAGUUUAGAAGACACGACAGCACCACGCGGAAGCAAUUAUGCAGUAUUGACGACAGAGAGACAGAAAUUCCAGCUGUUGCAGUCAGCAUUCUGGGCAAAAAUAAGGGUGCUUCCCACCAUCAGCAGGGCACCUCUGUGAGCAGCAGGGCCAGGGGGAAGGAGCGUGGGAGCAGCUGCUGGCCCUGGGAGCAGCCGGAUUGCAGCACAGCCUGCUGCUGCAAGCGGUGCGUCAGCCCUGUGUCUGUGGGUGAUGCAGAUAGAGGAUGCCAGCAGAACCCCUUCCACAGCUGAGUGUGGAAGCCUGUGGGUGGAUAUUCUGCAUCUCCAGGUGCCGGCAGUGCCAGUUGCCACGCAGCAAGCCUGGCUAGGCUCCAUCCGGCAUGCACUGAUGCCUGGCUCCCACCAGCUGGGGCAACAGAGGCAGCCAGGGAAGCUCCGUGUGGAGCAGGGCUGUGCCUCUGAGCCAGCAUGGAGCAGUUGGAUGUCCUUAGCCUGGUGUCGCUUUGGGGAAUGGUUUGGAUUGUUUCUUAGGCUGGAAAGGUCUUGGGAGGGUGGUCCUCCUCAUUCUGGGGACGUGGCACAGCAACUGGGGUGCGCAGGCGAGGUGAGGAGACUUUCCAUUUUGUGCAUCCUGUGUUUUGUAACGUGCUCAUUUCCCUGCCAGCACAGAUCUGGGGCAAGAGUAAGUUUUCUUGGAAACAGGGCCAAGUUAUGCUUGGAAAGAGGCAGAGACUUGCAGCUUCCCAAGCUACAUUUGGAUCAAGCUCGCCUGAGUCCUCAGUUCCUGGCCCAGCCUGGAGCUCCAAGGCUUUGUGGGUUGGAGGGGCUUUGUGGUCCUCUAGGCAGCCACCUCCUCCUCAGUGCAGAGAGAAGUGGCCGCUGGAGCUGCAGCAACUUUUCCAGCUGCCUCCCAGCAAUGCUUGUUCUCCAGAGCUCAUGGCAGCCCCAGGCCCUGCAGCUGUCUGCUCCUCUCAUCUCACCUUGCCCUGCCAGCCAGCCUGCCUUCCUCCCUCCUUGGGGCUCCAGAUGCAGCCAGGCUGAAGGGCGCAGGGCAGGGCUACAGGGCUGGGACAGGAGCUGCUGCUGGCCCCAUCUGUCAGGGAGGUCUCUGGUCCGUCUGUCUGUGCUCAUGCGUCUUGCAUCAGGGUGGGGUUUUCCUGGCAGAGGCAGAUCAGUUUUUUUUUUUUUCCUGAUUGAGGCAGCCGGGGAAGUCUCUCUGCUUGUUUGUUUAGAGUUUGCAGUUCAAGGGUCUGGAAUUUAAUUUUGCAGUGGCAGCCCGCAGCGAGUGCCAGUGCGAGUGAGGCCGAUCGCGUGCGGGCUGCCCUGCUCAGGGGAGGGGUGCACAGCCACUGCACGGAGUGUGUGCUGGGUUGUGGCCAUCGCUGAGGACUUUGCUUCUCUUCCCCUGGUGGAAAAGGCAAUAUUUUUCGUUAUUUAAAGACAUUACGCCAGUGCGAGACCUUGUGUCGGAGUAGGUGUCAUUUGUUGCUGGGUUCGUAACUUUUGCUCCGAAUAACUGUUGCACAGUUAGUUGGUCCUAUAAACCCGCUGCUGCCAACGUGCGUGGCAAUCCCUUGUAUUUUUCAGCCCAUUUCCUCCUGGGUGGACGGGUGAGGGCACGUGCUGAGGUUCCAGGCUCAGCUGGUGCUGAGGCACCAGCAGAGCUGACUUCUGCGAGGGGACACUCUGCGAGAAGAGGCUGGUUGAAGGAAGCAAAUCCUGCAGGUUGGGAAGCAGUUCUCACUUCCACCCCCCCCCCCUCCUCCCAGCACAUCUGCAUCUUCCCUGGCAGAAGGAGCAGGCUUGCACCCAUCCGUGGUCUGCUCCCCUGUGCUGUGGGACAGAGCCAGCGCCUGCCCUGUGGGUCUGGGGUCUGCAGUGCCCUCUGCUCCCCUGCCUGCGGCUGAGGCUUGGCCCAGCUUUCUGGGGUGGGGCUCAUUUUGUUUUUCCCAGCAAGGAAUGGGUUGGCGCGGUCAGCAGCUCUUCCCUUUUCUGUUCAGGCCCUGCAAAGAGGCUUUUUUGUUUCUCUGCGCGAGUGCUGCUUCCUUUUUCCAGCUUUCCUCCUGCACGGGCUCGCCUGCCCUGGCAGCACAUGCGUGCACGUGUCUCAGCAGCAGCAGAGCGCGCGCUGCUUUCCGCCGGGGUGACAGAAUCCUUCUCGCCCACCCACUGCGUGCAGCACGUUUCAAGCCUCCCUGCUAGGAACUUUUGUUUCCACUGUCUCUCCGAACUAAGCAUCUGAGAUCUGUGCCCACCCUGAAUUGCAUGGCUGAGCUAUGCUGGUUUUUUUUUUUUUCCGGACGAGCCAUUCGGCGCUGUCUGCAAACUGCAGGGCUGCUGCCCCCGUGCCCAUCCUGCUGCAUCCUGAGCCCUUUGGGGUUGCCUCCUCCUGCAGGCACCGGGGCAGCUCUGCAGGCUGUUGCUGCUCUAGUUUCCCCCACAUUUCUGGCACUCGUGGCCCGGGGAGAGAGGUUAGGACAGCUGUUAGACUGAUGACAGCAUUAAGUUGAGCGGGUCGUGGUCUUUUGGUGCAAGGGUCCUGUGGCAGCCCUGUGGGUUAGCAGGGUGAGGACUGUUGAGGAGUUGUACUGGCAGCCUGUACAGCUGCAGUUUUAGUGGUUGUGGCAAACGCGGCCAUGUAGUGGUGGGGAAUAUGGAGAUCAGUGAGGAUACGUUGUGUUGUCGAGGUGCACUUGACCGCUUUGUUCCUUGCAGCUUUUUGCAAGCCUCACCUUUUGCUUCAUUUGAAAACCUGCUUCCUGUUUGUAUGAACCACACUGGCUCCUCUGCUGCCUGUGCCUGCGCAGGGCUUUUCCUGUGCACCUUUUGUCUGAAGCUGAGCAGAAAUGUUUCAGUGAGAGACAUUGGGGCGGAGGGAAGUGGGGGAGGGACGGGAUGAUGGCAUAGCUGACUUCUUGUUUUGUUUUGUUUUUAUCUCCCUCUCUUGCCCAACCAUGGCUUCUUAAAUCCUCCUUUAACGAUCACUGAGCUGUUUGGAUGCUAAGUGAUGCUUCUGCAUCUUCUGCCAACUUCUGGCAGUUGCUUAUUCAAGUUUUCUAGGUGUUCUUUAGCUACAAAUGUACAGCAAGGCUGGAAAUGAGGGUGCUGUGAUGGAGCAGUGCAACUGUGAAUCCCAAAGAUGGCCACCUGCAAGCCCUGGGAUAUACAUGCUGCUGGGGUCGCAUGUCCACACUGCUCUGUCACACGUGUGUGCCCUUUGGCUGAGACUCAACUCCCAGCAGUGACUCCAUUGUCAGGCAGGCAUCUGGAAGGGAAGCAGAAGAGACUGAAGGAAGAGAACCAGGCUGGAAAGUUGACACGUUGGACCGCUGCGCGUGGAGUUCUCCCAGCCUGUGAACCUGGAGGAGGUGGCGAGCACAAACCCUGAGGUCAGGGAAGGAGGUCGU